CAGUUUUUUCUUGAGAUGGUCAGAAAGUAUAUAACUUUGAUAGUUCGUGUUCUCUGGUAGGUCAUGUUACUUAGUGCUGAGUAUGUGUCGUGGGUCUCCUAUAGUUAACUUAAGCGUGUACUAAGUUAGCUUCAUGUCAUAGCCAAGCAACUCUGCUCUUUACCUCAUCUUUGGGCUUAGACUUUUAUCUUAGGCAGUAGGCACCUUACUACAUGGACUAUUAAGACAAUAAAGCUAGUACAUGGGACUGUGAAAAGACCAUAGUUUUGUGAAUGCUGAAAGAUUAAGUUUAUAUGGAAAAAAUCCUUAUAAGAUUUCUGACAAGCAAUCUUAUUGGGCUUAGAUUCUUGAAGUUAAAAUCCAGUUGACUGGUUUCUGGAUGUUUGUCAUUUUUUUGACAUAGUAAUGAUCUUCAUUCUAUGACUUGUGCCUUCUCUGUUUCAUGAGGGUUUGCACAGUUAAUUUUUGUUGUUAUUUUUUACUCCCUCCGUCCCAUAAUAUAAGAGCGUUUCUGACACUAACCAUGAUAUUUUUGAAGUUAUCUAUGGUCAAAGCUCAAAGGAUUUGAUUGUAGUGGGUAUAAUAUAUGGGUGUAAUUGGCUUUAAGGCAUUAUUCUUGAUCAAAACGUUGAAACUAUCAUUGUCAGUUUACAAGCAUAGAUUGUCAGUUUACUCCGCCUGUUUUGCUUAUCUUUUCAGUUAGUUUACUUGCCUUGUUUACUACUUCCUCCGUCCGGAAUUACUUGUCACAUAAAUGGAUGAAUAUGAAUGUAUCUAUAACUAAAAUACAUCUAGAUACAUACAUUUCUAUGACAAGUAUUUCUGGAUGGAGGGAGUACUUGUAUAUUUUGCCAAAUUGUAGUGAUAGUCAGGUAUGCGUAACUUCGGUAAGUCUAAGGGCCCGUUCGGAAGCUAUCCAGCUUCAGGAAAUCCUCGUCUCCUGCUUCUCUCGCCAGCUUCCAGCUUCUCGCCAGGAGUAGCGUGCGUUCGGCAGGCUGUGGCCAGUUUCUCUCCACGCUGCAUGGGCUGGUGCUGGGCUAUAGGAAGAUGGCCCGUUAGGGAACUUAGAUGGUCACAUGGGCUGCAGGCCCAGUUCGUUGUGGAUGACCCUGAUGCGUCCACGUCUGCUGCCUCGUUCGUGCGGGAGCUCGGGAGAAAACAGAUCGAACUGGAAGCUAGCUUCGAGAAGCUGGGGGGUGGCUUCACGCACCUGUUUCGGGAAGCUGGCCCAUGGAGAAGAUCCAAACGGGGCCUAAGCCGCCUGCUUGAACCUAUUUGCUUGGGUUUUGGUCUAGGGACUAUGAAAGCCAGCAUAAGGCCAUCUGUGCAAGUUUUAUACAUUUUUUUGAACUUCAAGUUAUAUAUUUCUGAAGAUUCGUAGGUUAGUUUGGUUAUUCAUUACCAAUUGUCCUGGUGUUUAAGCAGCAGUGAUAGUAAGUUAUGAUUAUAAGCUGGUACCAUUUUGUGUUGUUUCA